CCCCACCCCCACAAGAAGCUGCGGCUGGGCACUCUGUCACCACCCCCCCGUCCGGAGAGUCGGGAGCGCCGGUAAUCAUCGCUUCAUCAUCACGUUCACCGCAGCAAGGAUCACCAGCAUUCCAUUUUCUGAAAGUUGCCGAUUGCCAGAGACUGGUGCUUCGAGAAACCGACCCCCUCUGGAAGUGAUCACCUGAGCAAUGGACAAACAAUUACAGAUGCCAUAUGUUCAACAGAAGCAAAAAGAAAAUACCACCGACAGUGCACUGAAGCAUCCGUCUGAAUUAUGACAAGUCUCCGAGUGGGGGUUCAAUCCAUAAUAAUUUUGACAAUGUGGCAAAGGUGACAACAACUGACAACAUGGAUGCAAAAUACAGAAGUCUGAAGAGGGCAUACCUUUUCUCCUGUGCGAUUCCACACUGUAACAGUGUGUCCCAUUUUCAAGAGAUUUGCAACUAUUCCACUUCCCAUUAAGCCUAGACCAAGAAAUCCUAUCCUGCAAAAACAGGAAUCAAAAUCUUUUAUUAUUCCCCUCUAAAAUAAAGGUUUUUUAAUUAAAAUCUGAUUUCGAUAAAACAUUUCUACUGGAAAUGCAAUGUGAACCUAUUUCACAAAGUGGUUCAAAGAACUGGCAACUUCAUUCAACAGAUUGUUCAAUGUAUUCUGUAAAUGUAACUGGAAAGUAAUUUCAUUAUUUAAAAUGGCAUAGAACAGAAACUAUCAAAAUAAUUCACACAAAGGUUUGAAGGAGUAUCAUCACAAACAGAUAGCUGCAAAAAUUGACAUUAAGUGGAAGGUUUUUUUGAUUUCCUUAAGUAUGUAGUUUCCAUCUGAGUUGACGAAGUAGAGAAAAUUUGUUGCCUUGAUUACUGAACCCAAUAUGAGGCAUCUCAGCUAUUGGUUAUGAACACAGGAUGUUUAAAUGAUCAAGUCAUUUCAACCAAAUGCUAAUUCAGCAGCUCUUUCAACUUGGUUCCCCAGUAUUAGAUCAGCUUACACAAAUAUUCAGAAAAACAGAAAAGAGGCAAUAUUGACAAUGAUUAAUUCUCAGUCAUUUUAAUCAGAAAAAAUUGAUGAAACCUCUCAAAGCUCUGGAUUUGUUCACCAUUUAAUGGUUUCACAACUACUGCCUUGUAGUACAACUAAAUUAAGCAUUCGAAAAAUCAGCAUAAAGAACUACAAUUUACAACUUAGACUUUCAUUCAUAAUUCUGUAUCGUUUGCUUUCUAAGUAAAGCCUAAAAUUAAAGCAUUCUAUUUAAAAUCUCCUCAUUAAAGAGCUAGCUACUCCAUACACAUAAAUAUGUACAAUUUACAUUUCAUUGUAAAUUGAUUUGACAAGAAAAGCUUAUCAUUUGGUACUUAUACUCUAACUUCAGCGGCCAAAUCCAUUGUAAAAUCAGCAUUUAGCCCUUUCAGCUUAAAGACUUACUAAAUAUGUUAAAAAGUGAACUUACAAAGUUACUCAUGUAUGAAGACAGGAAUGGGAAUUGGUUCUUCAGUCCUUUGAGCUGGUUGUGCAAUGUAAUUACAUCAUCGUUCAUCUAUAGCUUAAUCCUACUUGCCUGAUUUUAACUUGUAUCCCUUCAUCUUCUUACCUGACAAAGAACAAAUCUCAAAAAUUUGGCAAAGCAUGCACCACUUUUUGGAGAUGUUCCAGAUUUGCACUACCCUUGGACUGGAAAAAGUGCCACUGAAUUUUCCUCCAAACCGAUUCAGUCCGAUUUUUAGAUGAUAUCCCAUUGUUUUGAAUUUUUCAAAAGAGGGGCAAUUGUCCUUUUGCAAACAGAUCAUUUUUAAUUAAACAAACACUGACCAGAUCACCACUUGACUAACUAAACUCACAGGAAUUUAUUACUUGACCUCAAUUUAAGCUAGUUUUAUUCUUUCAUUUAUUGCUGUCAAUUUUAUUUGUAAAUAAUUCAAAUGGGCUUGGGUCAAAUGUACUCUAAAAUCCAUUUAGUCGACCUCAAGUUUAUUUAUUUAUUUUUGCACUAAUGGCCUCAAGAAAAUUCACCUAGGUUUUUCAGAUAUGGCACAUCUUUCACAAAUCCACACCAAUUCUGUUUGAUUAUCUUAUAAUGUCCAAGUGCCCAUUCAUACCAUCUCAGAUACAGAUUUCAGGAAAUUCCACUUAACAGAUGCUAAACCACAUUGCGACAUUAUGUGAUUUCCCAUUCUUUCUAUUUGAGAGUAAGGGAAUGGCAUUUAUAAUGUCUGAAUAAAUUACAACUAAAAUUCAUGAUUUAGUCAUGUACUGAUUACACCAUCUACCUCUUUCCAAAACUCUGGGAUUGAAAUAUCAGGCCUUAGAGAUCUAUCUGUCUUAAGUUCCUUAUUUUCUCCAAUUAAAAUACCUUUUACAUGUAUUAAGCUCAUUGUAUCCUACUCCCCCAACCCAACACUUUUCCUUAAAAAAAGUACCCUUAUAUUCCUAGUAUUUUGUCAACAGGCACAUAAUCAACCAUAACUUGUGAACUGAUGCUCAAUUUGAGACUCACCACAGACAUGUGGCUCCAGACUUGGUUACAACACUGGACCAAGCAUUGAUAAGUUCUGAAUGGUGCUACCAUUAACAUCAAGGCAACAUAUGAUUGAAUGCAACAGCAGGGGACCUUGGCAAAACUGAAAUCGACAACAGCAUAUACAGAGAUAAUGGGGACUGCGGAUG